rnacentral:lncRNA from 1 species
GGUGCCAAAUUUAUUUAAAGGAGGGAUCCAACUAUAGGUGGGGUGUGAACAAUUUUGUGUGACAAAUAUUUCCCACAACACUAUGAGAUAGAGAGCCUCUUGUGCGACAAGAAAAAUAAGGAGGGCACUGAUUUAUGGGAACGACUUCCUUUUGGCAUCUUCUCUCUUGUGCUCUCCUUCUUAGGUGUGAAGAAUACCUCCCUAGGGUG